UAAAGUCUGGCCUGCCCAGUGAUAAUUGAAUUUAACGGCCGCGGUAGCAUGACCGUGCUAAGGUAGCAUAAUCAUUUGUCCUUUAAUUGAGGACUGGUAUAAACGGCUGCACAAGAAAUUGUCUGUCUCUACUAUAAAAUUUGAAAUUCACAUUUAAGUGAAAAGGCUUAAAUGGAAUAGG
rnacentral:rRNA from 1 species